AACAGGUUUUCCUAGUUUUCUUAUUUACCAUUUUCCGGGAUCAGAGGACCGUGACCCAAUGACUCUACGGGUGGAAUCAGAAUUUUUCAAAAUGGACCAAACUGUUCAACAUAAAAGGAGAGCAACAAUUUAUCCAGAGCCACAGAACUCAUGAAAAGAGCAUCUGAGAUGAGGUCCGGGAGCCGUCCAUUUAGGUCAACGGAUGCCAGGCAGCCUUGGAAGCCCUCCUUGGCGUGGACCAGUUUUGGCAAGGAUUUGUAGGUUUCUUUAGCCACUCCUCCUAUAUACAAGUCACCUGUGGGAAGAUCAAACUCCAUGUCACAAAAGUAGCAUGUCAUUCACUUUAAA